UAGCGUAUAUUAAAGUUGUUGCAGUUAGAACGCUCGUAGUCGGAUUUCGGGGCGAGCCUUCCGGUCUGCCGAUGGGUACGCACUGGUCGGCGCGUCCUUCCUUCCGGAGACCGUGCCUACUCUUAACUGAGCGGGGGCGGGAGACGGAACGUUUACUUUGAAAAAAUCAGAGUGUUUCAAGCAGGCAGCUUGCUCUUGCAUGGAUUAGCAUGGGAUAAUGAAAUAGGACUUUGGUGCUAUUUUGUUGGUUUCGAACACCGAAGUAAUGAUGAGAAGGGACAGUCAGGGGCACUCGUAUUCCGCCGAGAGAGGUGAAAUUCUCAGACCAGCGGAAGACGAACCACUGCGAAAGCAUUUG
rnacentral:rRNA from 1 species